rnacentral:rRNA from 1 species
GAUGAACGCUGGCGGCGUGCCUAAUACAUGCAAGUCGAGCGAACGGACGAGAAGCUUGCUUCUCUGAUGUUAGCGGCGGACGGGUGAGUAACACGUGGAUAACCUACCUAUAAGACUGGGAUAACUUCGGGAAACCGUAGCUAAUACCGGAUAAUAUUUUGAACCGCAUGGUUCAAAAGUGAAAGACGGUCUUGCUGUCACUUAUAGAUGGAUCCGCGCUGCAUUAGCUAGUUGGUAAGGUAACGGCUUACCAAGGCAACGAUGCAUAGCCGACCUGAGAGGGUGAUCGGCCACACUGGAACUGAGACACGGUCCAGACUCCUACGGGAGGCAGCAGUAGGGAAUCUUCCGCAAUGGGCGAAAGCCUGACGGAGCAACGCCGCGUGAGUGAUGAAGGUCUUCGGAUCGUAAAACUCUGUUAUUAGGGAAGAACAUAUGUGUAAGUAACUGUGCACAUCUUGACGGUACCUAAUCAGAAAGCCACGGCUGACUACGUG